UCCUGGCUCAGAACGAACGCUGGCGGCAGGCCUAACACAUGCAAGUCGAGCGCCCCGCAAGGGGAGCGGCGGACGGGUGAGUAACGCGUGGGAACGUACCCUUUGCUACGGAAUAGCCUCGGGAAACUGGGAGUAAUACCGUAUGUGCCCUUCGGGGGAAAGAUUUAUCGGCAAAGGAUCGGCCCGCGUUGGAUUAGGUAGUUGGUGGGGUAAUGGCCUACCAAGCCGACGAUCCAUAGCUGGUUUGAGAGGAUGAUCAGCCACACUGGGACUGAGACACGGCCCAGACUCCUACGGGAGGCAGCAGUGGGGAAUCUUAGACAAUGGGCGCAAGCCUGAUCUAGCCAUGCCGCGUGAGCGAUGAAGGCCUUAGGGUUGUAAAGCUCUUUCAGCGGGAAGAUAAUGACUGUACCCACAGAAGAAGCCCGGCUAACUCCGUG
rnacentral:rRNA from 1 species